rnacentral:rRNA from 1 species
CUUCCUAGUAAAGUCAUCAAAUUUGAAACACCUAUUACACGACUCCUUGGUGUCACACCCAACUACACAUCUCUUCGUGUUUUCGGUUGUGCAUGUUGGCCCAACCUCAGACCCUAUAACACACGCAAACUCGCUUUUCGCUCCAAAAAGUGUGUCUUCUUAGGCUAUAGUCCCAUGCACAAAGGAGUUAAAUGUCUAGAUGUUCCUACUGGUAGGGUCUACAUAUCCAGAGAUGUAGUUUUUGAUGAGUCAGUGUUCCCUUUUGCUUCCCUUCAUCCCAAUGCUGGUGCACUUCUCCGCAAGGAAAUCCUUCUUCUUCCUCCACAUCUUCGGUCUUUUGAUCAUGGGGGCGACAGUUGUACUAACCAAAGUGAUGAUAUUCCUGCUGGUAUUGGUUCUUCU